AAUGAACGCUGGCGGCGUGCUUCACACAUGCAAGUCGAGCGAGGCCAGGUAGCAAUACCUGAGUCGAGCGGCGCACGGGUGAGUAACGCGUGGAUAACCUGCCUGAAGGUGGGGGAUAACCCGGGGAAACUCGGGCUAAUACCGCAUAACACCGAGAGGUCAAAGGGGGCUCGCAAGGGCUCUCGCCGGCAGAGGGGUCCGCGUCCGAUUAGCUAGUUGGCAGGGUAAUGGCCUACCAAGGCGACGAUCGGUAGCCGGCCUGAGAGGGUGAUCGGGCACACUGGAACUGAGACACGGUCCAGACUCCUACGGGAGGCAGCAGUGGGGAAUGUUGCGCAAUGGGCGAAAGCCUGACGCAGCAACGCCGCGUGGAGGAUGAAGGUCUUCGGAUUGUAAACUCCUGUCAGUGGGGAAAAAGGGGAACGUGCUCAUACCACGUUUCAUUGAUUGUACCCGCAGAGGAAGCCCCGGCUAACUCUGUGCCAGCAGCCGCAGUAAGAC
rnacentral:rRNA from 1 species